AACGAACGCUGGCGGCAUGCCUAACACAUGCAAGUCGAACGAAACCUUCGGGUCUAGUGGCGCACGGGUGCGUAACGCGUUGGAACCUGCCCUUAGGUUCGGAAUAACUUCCCGAAAGGGGUGCUAAUACCGGAUAAUGUCUUCGGACCAAAGAUUGAUCGCCUUUGGAUGGGCCCGCGUUGGAUUAGCUAGUUGGUAGGGUAAACGCCUACCAAGGCGACGAUCCAUAGCUGGUCUGAGAGGAUGAUCAGCCACACUGGGACUGAGACACGGCCCAGACUACUACGGGAGGCAGCAGUGGGGAAUAUUGGACAAUGGGCGAAAGCAUGAUCCAGCAAUGACGCGUGAGCGAUGAAGGCCUUAGGGUUGUAAAGCUCUUUUAUCCGGGAUGAUAGUGACAGUACCGGGAGAAUAAGCACCGGCUAACUCCGUG
rnacentral:rRNA from 1 species